ACAUGUGUUUUGUUGCACCUUGCUUGCCAUUUUGGUUGUGAAAUGAUGAUGCUAAAUCCAAUGGAGCUGAAAAUUUGCAUGCUUAAUCUAGACACCUUUAGGGAUAUUUUGGUAUAGAGUUUGUGAUUUUAUCAUGCUUGGUUGAUGAGAUAUGCUCUGUUCAUUGGAGGUGUGACAAUGUGUGUCACACCAUUUCUUGUCCAAUUUGAUGAUUUUAUUUACCAUGCCUAUUGAAUGCCAAAUGAUCUGAA
rnacentral:lncRNA from 1 species